rnacentral:lncRNA from 1 species
CGGGUCACACAUGGCAUUGGUAGGACCCAAAAAUGGCGUUUUUUACCCCAAAAAUGGCCUUUUUGACCCCAAAAUCAGGCAUUUUGGACCCAAAAACCCUCAAUUUGACCCCAAAAUGGCCAUUUUCGGCCCAAAAUGGGCUUUUUUGACCCCAAAAACUCCCAAUUUUGACCCCCAAAUGGUCAUUUUUGGCCCCGAAAUGGGCCUAUUUGGCCCCAAUAUCCCCCAAGUUGGCCCCAAAAUGGUCAUUUCUGACCCCAAAAUGGGCCUUUUUGGCCCCAAAAUGGCACUUCCUGACCCCAAAAUGGGCGUUUUUAGCCCCAAAAUGGGCCUUUUUGGCCACAAAAAACCUCCAAUUUCGACCCCAAAAUGGUCAUUUUUGACCCCAAAAUGGGCCUUUUUAGAUCCAAAAUAGUCAUUUUUGGACCCCAAAUGGGCAUUUCUAACCCCAAGAUGGGUCUUUCUAACCCCAAAAUGCCCCUUUCUGACCCCAAAUUGGCCUUUUUUAACCCCAAAAUGGUCAUUUCUGACCCCAAAUUCCCUCUUUCUGACCCCAAAAUGGUCAUUUUUGGCCCCAAAUUCCCUCUUUCUGUCCCCAAAAUGGGCUUUUUUGGACCCAAAAUGGCCCUUUCUGACCCCAAAAUGAUGGGGCUGCUCAGCAGGACGGAGCCCAUCCGGGUCACACAUGGCAU